rnacentral:rRNA from 1 species
GAUGAACGCUAGCGGCAGGCCUAACACAUGCAAGUCGAGGGGCAGCACAGAAACAGCAAUGUUUUGGUGGCGACCGGCGGACGGGUGCGUAACGCGUAUGCAACCUACCUUUAACAGGGGGAUAACGGAGAGAAAUUUCCACUAAUACCCCAUAUCAUCGAUCAAGGCAUCUUGAUUGGUUGAAAACUCCGGUGGUUAAAGAUGGGCAUGCGUUGUAUUAGGUAGUUGGUGAGGUAAUGGCUCACCAAGCCUACGAUACAUAGGGGGACUGGGAGGUUAGCCCCCCACACUGGUACUGAGAACCGGACCAGACUCCUACGGGAGGCAGCAGUGAGGAAUAUUGGUCAAUGGGGGCAACCCUGAACCAGCCAUGCCGCGUGCAGGAAGACGGCUCUAUGAGUUGUAAACUGCUUUUAAACAGGGAUAAAGCACAGUAUGUAUACUGUGUUGAAGGUACUGUAAGAAUAAGGAUCGGCUAACUCCGUGCCAGCCGCCGCAGUAA